GCUUAACACAUGCAAGUCGAGGGGCAGCAUUUUACUAGCAAUAGUAAAGAUGGCGACCGGCGCACGGGUGAGUAACACGUAUCCAACCUGCCGAUAACUCGGGGAUAGCCUUUCGAAAGAAAGAUUAAUAUCCGAUAGUAUAUUUUCUCCGCAUGGCGAGAAUAUUAAAGAAUUUCGGUUAUCGAUGGGGAUGCGUUCCAUUAGGCAGUUGGUGAGGUAACGGCUCACCAAACCUUCGAUGGAUAGGGGUUCUGAGAGGAAGGUCCCCCACAUUGGAACUGAGACACGGUCCAAACUCCUACGGGAGGCAGCAGUGAGGAAUAUUGGUCAAUGGGCGCGAGCCUGAACCAGCCAAGUAGCGUGAGGGAUGAAGGCUCUAUGGGUCGUAAACCUCUUUUAUAUGGGAAUAAAGUUUUCCACGUGUGGAAUUUUGUAUGUACCAUAUGAAUAAGGAUCGGCUAACUCCGUGCCAGCAGCCGCGGUAAUACGGAGGAUCCGAGCGUUAUCCGGAUUUAUUGGGUUUAAAGGGAGCGUAGGUGGAUUGUUAAGUCAGUUGUGAAAGUUUGCGGCUCAACCGUAAAAUUGCAGUUGAAACUGGCAGUCUUGAGUACAGUAGAGGUGGGCGGAAUUCGUGGUGUAGCGGUGAAAUGCUUAGAUAUCACGAAGAACUCCGAUUGCGAAGGCAGCUCACUAGACUGUCACUGACACU
rnacentral:rRNA from 1 species